rnacentral:rRNA from 1 species
GACGAACGCUGGCGGCGUGCUUAACACAUGCAAGUCGAACGGAAAGGCCCUGCUUUUGUGGGGUGCUCGAGUGGCGAACGGGUGAGUAACACGUGAGUAACCUGCCCUUGACUUUGGGAUAACUUCAGGAAACUGGGGCUAAUACCGGAUAGGAGCUCCUGCUGCAUGGUGGGGGUUGGAAAGUUUCGGCGGUUGGGGAUGGACUCGCGGCUUAUCAGCUUGUUGGUGGGGUAGUGGCUUACCAAGGCUUUGACGGGUAGCCGGCCUGAGAGGGUGGCCGGCCACAUUGGGACUGAGAUACGGCCCAGACUCCUACGGGGGGCAGCAGUGGGGAAUAUUGCACAAUGGGCGGAAGCCUGAUGCAGCAACGCCGCGUGCGGGAUGACGGCCUUCGGGUUGUAAACCGCUUUCGCCUGUGACGAAGCGUGAGUGACGGUAAUGGGUAAAGAAGCACCGGCUAACUACGUGCCAGCAGCCGCGGUGAUACGUAGGGUGCGAGCGUUGUCCGGAUUUAUUGGGCGUAAAGGGCUCGUAGGUGGUUGAUCGCGUCGGAAGUGUAAUCUUGGGGCUUAACCCUGAGCGUGCUUUCGAUACGGGUUGACUUGAGGAAGGUAGGGGAGAAUGGAAUUCCUGGUGGAGCGGUGGAAUGCGCAGAUAUCAGGAGGAACACCAGUGGCGAAGGCGGUUCUCUGGGCCUUUCCUGACGCUGAGGAGCGAAAGCGUGGGGAGCGAACAGGCUUAGAUACCCUGGUAGUCCACGCUGUAAACGGUGGGUACUAGGUGUGGGGUCCAUUCCACGGGUUCCGUGCCGUAGCUAACGCUUUAAGUACCCCGCCUGGGGAGUACGGCCGCAAGGCUAAAACUCAAAGGAAUUGACGGGGCCCCGCACAAGCGGCGGAGCAUGCGGAUUAAUUCGAUGCAACGCGUAGAACCUUACCUGGGUUUGACAUGGAUCGGGAGCGCUCAGAGAUGGGUGUGCCUCUUUUGGGGUCGGUUCACAGGUGGUGCAUGGCUGUCGUCAGCUCGUGUCGUGAGAUGUUGGGUUAAGUCCCGCAACGAGCGCAACCCUUGUUCACUGUUGCCAGCACGUUAUGGUGGGGACUCAGUGGAGACCGCCGGGGUCAACUCGGAGGAAGGUGGGGAUGACGUCAAGUCAUCAUGCCCCUUAUGUCCAGGGCUUCACGCAUGCUACAAUGGCUGGUACAGAGAGUGGCGAGCCUGUGAGGGUGAGCGAAUCUCGGAAAGCCGGUCUCAGUUCGGAUUGGGGUCUGCAACUCGACCUCAUGAAGUCGGAGUCGCUAGUAAUCGCAGAUCAGCAACGCUGCGGUGAAUACGUUCCCGGGGCU